rnacentral:sRNA from 1 species
CAGCAGUGGACAGUGGACAGGCUAAU